rnacentral:tRNA from 1 species
GCCCUCAUAUGCAGUUGUAACUUGCUGAAAUCUAAGACGGGCAGGCGCAUGACAACGGCCUUUCACGCCGUCGACAGGGGUUCAAAUCCCCUUGGGGACGCCA